AGCCUGAUGCAGCGACGCCGCGUGAGGGAUGACGGCCUUCGGGUUGUAAACCUCUUUCAGUAGGGAAGAAGCGAAAGUGACGGUACCUGCAGAAGAAGCGCCGGCUAACUACGUGCCAGCAGCCGCGGUAAUAUGC
rnacentral:rRNA from 1 species